UUUUUUUCGGAGCUGGGGACCGAACCCAGGGCCUUGCGCUUCCUAGGUAAGCGCUCUACCACUGAGCUAAAUCCCCAACCCCCAUCUGCAUUACUCUUAUCCAGCCUCUGCUCAUAAGAGAGUAUCUCUGCCAGAGGGUUGGAAACGAGGCUACAAGCUGAAACGGCGAGUUGCAAUUCAAGUAUCCAGGCAGGAAACACUUGUUUUAGUGUUUGUUUUCAGUUACUGUGUACUUAAAGGAACAAUGGGAAUACCACCAGUAUGUGAAAUCCGAUGACCUUCCUCCCAAAUUAUUUCUCCCUAAAACUUCAAUAAUUUUCACCAGAUAUCUAUUUGGGUUUAGGGGGUGUCUCCGAGGGGUUUUCAGCUUCCGUGUCCCAGAACAAGGACUUGGACACGUGGAUAGUAGUAAACAAGACAAGAAAGCGGAGAAAAGACACACCCAAGAGAAGCAGGCCAGAACAUUGAUGAUGGGGUUGAUAAGCUACAUUUUCAGCUUGACUUGAUGGAGAAUUUCUAGUGCUGAGGAUCAAAUCCAGAGACUUGUACCUGAUAGGCAUAUAGGCUUAGUUAAUCACAUCUUCAGCCCUUGAGACAAGAUCUCCUAUAACCCAGGUUGGCUUCGAACUGAUGACCUCCUGAGUGCUAGACUACAAGUAUGUACCAUCAUACUUGUACAUUGCCCAGAACAAUUUUUUGUUGUUGUUGUUUUUGUUUUUUUUUCUUUUCUUUUUUUUUUCGGAGCUGGGGACCGAACCCAGGGCGUUGCGCUCGCUAGGCAAGCGCUCUACCGCUGAGCUAAAUCCCCAACCCCCAGAACAAUGUUUUUUAAAUGUAGUAUAUGUAACCUUCAAAUGAUUAACAUAUCUACUGUUAAUUCUGGGCACUAGGGAAUGUUAGGGAAAGUAAAACGGUGAGGAUAGUAUGGGCAUGACAUAGUAAGUGGAACACUGGGAAUGUAGAAAAUGGUUGAGACCUCAACAGUAAGAUAAUCUUGCAUAGAGACUUGAACAAGUGAGAUGCUCAGCUAUAUGGGAGAAGGGGAGUAGAGUCUAGACAGUAAGAUAUAACUGAAUAUAAAGUCUGUUACACUUGUCUCUGGCAGUUUUGAGAAUUUAUAAGAAGGCACGGAUGGCUUGAGCAGAAUGGAUUAGGGAAGAUUUAUAAGUAAGGACCCAGAAAAUAUGAAGAAGUUGAGUCACAAGGGCCAUUUACAGGACUCUGGCUUUUAUUCAGUCUAGGAUGAUGAGUGAUGAAUUCAUAUAUGACUGAAAAGUUUAGCAACUGUAAUCUCAUUUUUCUGAAGGUAUAAAUCCUCUAGAGCUCCACAUCUGCUGGAACUUGGUCCAAGAAUAGAAUCCUAUGAGAAUUCUGAAUGCUUGUGAGAAAACUCUAAGAAAAUAAGACAAGAAUCUUGUGACCUUAAAGAGGAAUUUUAGUCCAGCAAGAUGGCUGCUCUGGCAAGGGAUCACAUCCAAAGAUCUUCUAAGUCUACAGGAACCGGGCAGAAUACAGACAAACUCUGGAUUACAGACCCUCAGUGUUCAACAGUGCUUUGGAAGCCCAGCUUUCAAAGGAGCAGACAGACGGAAGACCUGUGGAGUGGCAGCCAUCAACUUGAGGCACAGGAGGAAGGGCUGCAGAGUUGUGUCCUGAGGAACUGCUCCGCUACAGUGCAUCAUAUUGACCAGAAGACAAUGCCUUUAAUCUCAUGGCUUUUGCACUUGAGUUC